GGUCCUGUGGCUCAGCCUGGUUAGAGCGUUACCCUGAUACGGUAAAGGUCCUGGGUUCAAAUCCCAGCAGGACCA
rnacentral:tRNA from 2 species